rnacentral:rRNA from 1 species
GCCUUCAUGAAGCUGGAAUUGCUAGUAAUGGCAGGUCAGCAUACUGCCGUGAAUACGUUCCCGGGCCUUGUACACACCGCCCGUCACACCAUGAGAGUUGGGAAUACCCGAAGCCUGUGAGCUAACGUUAAGAGGCAGCAGUCGAAGGUAGAAUCAAUGAUUGGGGUGAAGUCGUAACAAGGUAUC